UAAAGCUUCAGUUCGGCUACUUUCAUUCGUUCCUCGAGCUUGCAGUUUCUCGAACUCCAAGCUGCGGCAACUGUCAGAGCCAUACAUACUAAAACAGGCAAUAACAGAAAAAAAGAACUAAAUCUCUAACCAAAAUUUGUCUCUUAACAAACUCUCGUAUGUCUUUCUUGCUUCAUCUUUCUAACGAUAUGAAGAUUACAGAGAGAGAUGUGCCCUAUCAAAAGCCAAAGAACCCUAGCUCACUGGCCUUCUCCUUCUCAAAGGUCUCGAAGUACUGGUAAAUUAUGGUCACGGCAAGCAGGAUUCCAGUUCCUGAACCGAUUGCACCCAUGAAGUCAGCCAGGACCGUCAAUGCACCGAUGCACAUUCCUCCGAAGGCGGCUGCCGUCGGGAUGUAUCGGUUCAGCUCCUUCUGCAGGUUCCCAUCUCGGUGUCCAGGCAUCACCAUUUGUUGC
rnacentral:lncRNA from 1 species